GUGCUCACUUUGGCAGCACAUAUACUAAAAUUGGAAUGAUACAGAGAAGAUUAGCAUGGCAUCCUGCACAAGUAAUCCUUGUGAAUUCAUGAAGCAGUCCAUAUAUUU
ensembl:snRNA U6 U6 spliceosomal RNA